GCGCGUAUUCGCAGUUGCCGCGGUCCGCUUCCGGCCGGCGCUGCUGUGGAGGGUCUGCGGUGCGGCUGUGCUCGGCGCCGCCGGCGGGCUUGCCCGCCCCGCUCCGCCCCGCCCCGCUCCGCUCUGCCUGCCUCCGCCACACCACGGCUGUAGGUAAAAGGAUACAUGUGCACUUCAAGUAGAAAGCAGCAUGUUCCCAAAUCCCUCCAGCUUGCGUUGUCCACCCUUCCCUCCAAAACGUCAACAACGGAAUAAUUUCUUCAAUAAGAUUCCUCGAAGUAUGCCACCCACUCUUGUCUCUCACCAGCAUCUUACUGAGACUCAGUGUAAUUUUCAGAAUGCAGUUGCUGUUCUGAGUGGUAACCUUGCAAGUACUCAAGAUGUUACGCUGCAGCCAGUGACUUACAUAAGUGGCAGUCCAGUACGUGUGUCUGAUGCCCCCAUGUCAUUCCGAGGAAGAAAGAGACUAAGUGAACAAAGUGUUCCACAUGAUGUCAAGCGGCAUCGAUUCCAUUCACAUCAUUCUGAAACAGCUGUAGUUAACCAAGCAGUGUCUUUACCGGAAGAACAUAGAUACUCAUUUCCAGGAUCAGUUCAAUCUUCAGUGUUCCAUGCACAUCACGUACCAGAUUUAACUGGAUGUGUACCUCUGGUUCGAUAUACUUUGUUUCCAGAACCUAUAGAAACCACUUUCCCUGUGGGCAAAGAUAAGUUAAGUCAGCAGGUUUUGGAGUUGUUUCAAGCGUGUCAGCAACAGACCUGUGAUUUGCACAAAAAGGAAAUCUGCAGAACACAACUCCAGAGAGAAAUUCAGCGAAUUUUUCCACACAGCAAACUCUUUUUGGUUGGGUCCUCCCUGAAUGGGUUUGGCACUCGUAGCAGUGAUGGUGACUUGUGCCUGGUGAUUAAAGAAGAACCAGUAAAUCAGAAGACUGAAGCAAGAAACAUACUCAGCUUAGUCCAAAAACUCUUCAGUACUAAACUUUCAACCUACAUUGAAAGACCUCAGCUGAUUCGAGCAAAAGUGCCAAUAGUGAGGUUCAGGGAUAAAGUCAGCUGUGUGGAGUUUGACUUGAAUGUAAACAGCGUUGUGGGAAUAAGAAAUACAUUCCUUCUGAGAACCUAUGCAUACAUGGAGGAUCGAGUUCGUCCCUUAGUACUUGUUAUUAAGAAGUGGGCACGUUUUCAUGACAUAAAUGAUGCCAGUCGUGGUACUUUAAGCAGCUAUAGUCUUGUGUUAAUGGUGUUGCACUAUUUACAAACCCUACCUGAACCCAUCCUUCCAUCCCUCCAAAAGAAUUACCCAUGCUCAAAAGCAUUUAAAGCUCUCCUUCAUUUCUUGUACACUUGGCUUCAUUUCUUGUAUGCUUGGCUUUAUCUGGUGGGUUUUCUGAAUUGCUAAAUAUGCUAAUUAUGUUUGCUUAAAUCUCAUAUGCUGUAAAAACUCAUAUUUAAGUUUUGUGUAGCAUGUAAUUUAAAACAACUGUAAGAAUUGGUAACUUUAAACUUCUUUGUUAAAAUAAUGCAAACAUUUAUAUUAUUUUUUACCUGUGUACAGGCCUUCAGAGUACUAUAUAAAAUGACUUAAAUGAUUAAAGCAAGUAUACAAUACCAUAAGCUGAAAAAUCUAAUGAAUUUGUACUAAAUGCAAGGGUUUAUCUUGUGUCCUGUGAAAGUGGUAAAUCACUUGCAGGUUCCUGUGUUUCUGGAACACUGUUGUAAGAAUAGCACUUUUUACCCUAUUUCAACUUAGGUUUUUUUGUUGUUGUUAAUUAUCUUGCCUUUGGAGGAUGGACUAAAUUUUCUAGGAUUGCUAAUAAUAAUAUUUUAUACAUGUUUAUUAUAAAACCAAAUCAAAACUAUGGAUUAAUAUUUUUAAUUGUGUUAGAAAUUGGUAAAUAUAUAUUCCUAAUGGAGACAGCAGACCAAAAAUAAUUGAAUUGUGAAAGUUACAAUUUCUGAAUACUGAUACUGCAAAGAUUUUUAAAGUGAAAAUGAGAAAUAUGCCAGAGCAAUUCUGGUCUGGUUGCUUGCAGUAAUAAUUACAAAGCACGGGCAUUAUGGCUUCUGGAUGUUUUGCCUGUGUGUUUGCCAGAGGUCAAAGCUUAGAGAGAAUGUUGCUUUUACUUAUCAAUCUUGACCUUAAGGACAUUUUAUUUAUGUUUUAUAUAUUGAUCAUAACUAAUUAAUUUCUAUUAGUGUUUGUAGAGCAUUUGAAUAAUAAAAAAGUAAAUCAACAGUUACACUAAUAGAAAAAGACAAUAUAGCAAAUAUAGUUGUAAUAAAACUUAAUGGCCAAAAAGGAGAAUGCAUGUGUGCCUGUGUGUGUAUGCUUACAUACAGAAAACAAGAAAAACCAGAAGAAUAUCAAACACAAUUUUAUCCCAAUUUUCAAUAAGACUUGUUAGCAGUUAAUGAAGUAGACAUUCUCCCCAAGCUUGUAAUAUUGCUAAAGAAAAUAGAUUAUUUAUUAUUCUGAACAAUGGAUUCCUAAAGUCUAACUUUUUAGCUGCUCAGGGUGCCAUCUUCUCUGUGAUGGCAGAUUUUUCUUGCAGUUCAGAAGUUCUCAGGCAUUUGAACAUUCAAAGUUUAAAAAAAACCCACCUUGUUCUCCCUUUUCACAAAUGUCUGUGGCCUCCAAAGAGUUACUUACUAGUCUUAGUAGACAUCUGUGGUAGAAAUAGAAUUGCAUUUCUUGUAUUGUAUGGAGGUCAGCAGCCGUUGGUCUCAUGCCUUUCUCAUGGUGUCCAUUUCCUCAUGAGUUGUUACACUGCUAAUACAAAGUUCAGUUUUUGGGGCUCUUCUACAACUUUCUGUGGGAAUGGGCAAGGAGUGACUUUCACUCUAGUACCCGUCUGAUUCACUGUAUAUACUGUAUAACAUAAGUACAGCUGUUCCCUUUUAUGACCUUUAUAUGUUGCAUAUCUGCUUUUUAUGUCUGUAUGUAUGUUUUUGGUUUAUUGGUUUGUGAGCUGUUAAAUUCUAAGUUCUGCUGACUAUAAUAUUUUAUAUGCAAAGUUAGAUCAUGUGAGAACAAGACUUGAAAGUUUUUCAUAGCUGGAAGAAUAGUCUUUUUUCCAAGAAGGUGUUUCUCAAGGUUCCACGAAGUUUUGCUAGAAUUGGCAUAAAAGGAUGAGAAUACCAAACUUUCCAGUCCUGCUGGUUUGAUUGCGGACCGUACUUUUUUCAGAGGAAGCACUGCCAGCUGUGAAUGUGGAAAUAGUAUUACAGUAUAUAGUGCUUCCAGUGAUAUUCUAGUACUAUAAAGUUUGAGUCAUGCCUGAAACUACUCUUUAAAAUAAGGAAGUGGGAGCGAAGAUACAGUAAUGACUGAAUAGGUCCCUACAUUUAAAUAGAUAUAUUUCUUUAUGUGAAUGUAAAGCUUGCCUUUGUGUAUCUUGGGUUCAAUUUCCUUGAAAUAUACAACAUUGCUGUAAAUGUAGCAUGAGGCUUUACAAAUUGUUCCUCUAGCGAGAGAAGAUAUGGUUUCCUCCAUGUACCCCAGUCUCUAGGAAGAACCUGAAGGAUGUAAUGGACACCUAAACAGUAUAGCAGAUCUAAACCCAUGUUAGUCUUGUGUAGAUGCCUUUUUUAAGCUGGCAACUGUGACUUCUGUUUAUAGAAAAUCUGACCUUUUCUCUCCCCUUUCCACCUCCCCAAGAAAAGCAUACUUCAGCUUAAAUGCUGCAUUCUAUAUAUUCAGGGUUUUUUCUAUAACUAAUUUCUUUUUUAUUCUUUCAGAUAGGUUGUCUAGAGGAGGUGCUGCUGCAGUCUUUGAACUCAUUAUGUGGGAGGAUGCAGGUUCAUAUUAGAGCUAGUGGGUUUCAUAUGCAAUUUUAACUCUAUGCUGUGGGAAAAAUAAGUCAGGCCUUCCUUUUGGAUUGUUUUGGUACCACAGUUACAGGACCUUGGUGACAAUUGCAUUAGCUUCACCUACCCUACCUCACUUCAGCUGUGGCCAGCUCAGUGCAGGCUACCUUACUCAGCUUCUGCUCAUGUGGUUUUACUAGCAUGGAAAUGCAAGUUCAGUUCAAAUAUUCUUAGUUAAAAUUCUUAAGCACACAGAGGCAAGGGAUAGUCUCACACACUCCUACGCAAGAUGAUUCUACCUGAGUUCGGGGGAAUAACUAGCAUCCAACAGAGGAGCACAAGAGAAAGUGUCUUUUGCUUAUAAGUUGUCCUUGAUUUCUAAUAAGCAAAUGACAGGCAUCUCUUUUACUGUGGCAAAUACAUACAUCUAGAUGGAGGCUUGGGGGGGGUGUGUGUGUGUAUCUAUUCUCUGAUUUUAUUUUGGCAGGAAUCUUUUGAUCCUACUAUGCAGUUGCAUCAUGUUCAUCAAGCUCCACGUAUCAUUCCUCCAUACCCCUCAAAAAACGGAUCAAGCCUUGGAGAUUUGCUAAUAGGCUUCUUCAAAUAUUAUGCCACAGAAUUUGAUUGGAGCAAUCAAGUGAUUUCAGUUCGUGAGGCCAAAGCUAUUCCGAGACCUGAUGAUAGUGAAUGGAGAAAUAAAUUUAUUUGUAUAGAAGAGCCCUUUGAUAGGACAAAUACUGCUAGAGCUGUACAUGAAAAACAGAAGUUUGAUUUAAUCAGAGGUCAAUUUCUGAAGUCUUGGCAUUUAUUACAAAACAAGAAAGACCUGAACUGUGUAUUACCCUUAACAGCAGCCAUACUGAAAAGAUAACCAACUUCUUUCACUUUCUUCUUCCUGGAUCCUGCUGAAAUAGAGAGUAUCAAAAUCAAGAGGCAGUUACCCCAUGGAUAAUUGUCUUAUUAUGUCUUUUUCUUUGUAAACUUUCAUUAAGAAAAUGUUUAUAAGAAAGAUUGUGUAUUUCAUUAUUGAUAAUUGUUAAUACAGCUGUUCAUUAAAAUAUAGGUUUUCUGAAAAUGCCUGUAUUGUCUAUUUCUAGAAGAAACUCACAGCAAACCACAAGGAUUUAAGGAAAGUAUGGGAAUAUAAACA